CAGCCGCCGCGGUAAUACGAAGGGUGCAAGCGUUAAUCGGAAUUACUGGGCGUAAAGCGUGCGUAGGCGGUGAGUUAAGUCUGCUGUGAAAUCCCCGGGCUCAACCUGGGAAUGGCAGUGGAUACUGGCUCGCUAGAGUGUGUCAGAGGAUGGUGGAAUUCUCGGUGUAGCGGUGAAAUGCGUAGAGAUCGGGAGGAACAUCAGUGGCGAAGGCGGCCAUCUGGGACAACACUGACGCUGAGGCACGAAAGCGUGGGGAGCAAACAGGAUUAGAGACCCCGGUAGUCCCUGUCUCUUAUAC
rnacentral:rRNA from 1 species